rnacentral:rRNA from 1 species
AGUGAACGCUGGCGGUAGGCCUAACACAUGCAAGUCGAACGGCAGCACAGUAAGAGCUUGCUCUUACGGGUGGCGAGUGGCGGACGGGUGAGGAAUACAUCGGAAUCUACUUUUUCGUGGGGGAUAACAUAGGGAAACUUACGCUAAUGCCGCAUACGACCUACGGGUGAAAGCAGGGGAUCUUCGGACCUUGCGCGAUUGAAUGAGCCGAUGUCGGAUUAGCUAGUUGGCGGGGUAAAGGCCCACCAAGGCGACGAUCCGUAGCUGGUCUGAGAGGAUGAUCAGCCACACUGGAACUGAGACACGGUCCAGACUCCUACGGGAGGCAGCAGUGGGGAAUAUUGGACAAUGGGCGCAAGCCUGAUCCAGCCAUACCGCGUGGGUGAAGAAGGCCUUCGGGUUGUAAAGCCCUUUUGUUGGGAAAGAAAAGCAGCAGGUUAAUACCCCGCUGUUCUGACGGUACCCAAAGAAUAAGCACCGGCUAACUUCGUG